rnacentral:rRNA from 1 species
CCUACGGGGGGCUGCAGUGGGGAAUAUUGCACAAUGGGCGCAAGCCUGAUGCAGCCAUGCCGCGUGUGUGAAGAAGGCCUUCGGAUUGUAAAGCACUUUCAGCGGGGAGGAAGGCGGUGGGGUUAAUAACCUCAUCGAUUGACGUUACCCGCAGAAGAAGCACCGGCUAACUCCGUGCCAGCAGCCGCGGUAAUACGGAGGGUGCAAGCGUUAAUCGGAAUUACUGGGCGUAAAGCGCACGCAGGCGGUCUGUCAAGUCGGAUGUGAAAUCCCCGGGCUCAACCUGGGAACUGCAUUCGAAACUGGCAGGCUAGAGUCUUGUAGAGGGGGGUAGAAUUCCAGGUGUAGCGGUGAAAUGCGUAGAGAUCUGGAGGAAUACCGGUGGCGAAGGCGGCCCCCUGGACAAAGACUGACGCUCAGGUGCGAAAGCGUGGGGAGCAAACAGGAUUAGAUACCCGGGUAGUC